rnacentral:rRNA from 1 species
GCAUAUCAAUAAGCGGAGGAAAAGAAACUAACAAGGAUUCCCUAGUAACUGCGAGUGAAGAGGGAGAAGCUCAAAUUUGAAAUCUGGCAGUCUCUGGCUGUCCGAGUUGUAAUUUAGAGAAGUGUUACCCGUGUUGGACCGUGUACAAGUCUCCUGGAAUGGAGCGUCAUAGAGGGUGAGAAUCCCGUCUUUGACACGGACUACCAGUGCUUUGUGGUGCGCUCUCGAAGAGUCGAGUUGUUUGGGAAUGCAGCUCUAAAUGGGUGGUAAAUUCCAUCUAAAGCUAAAUAUUGGCGAGAGACCGAUAGCGAACAAGUACCGUGAGGGAAAGAUGAAAAGAACUUUGGAAAGAGAGUUAAACAGUACGUGAAAUUGCUGAAAGGGAAACGCUUGAAGUCAGUCGCGUUGGCCAGGGAUCAGCCUUCCUUUUGGUUGGUGUACUUCCUGGUUAACGGGUCAGCAUCAGUUUUGACCGUUGGAUAAAGUCUAGGGGAAUGUGGCAUCUUCGGGUGUGUUAUAGCCUUUAGUCGUAUACAACGGUUGGGACUGAGGAACUCAGCACGCCGCAAGGCCGGGUCUUUGACCACGUUCGUGCUUAGGAUGCUGGCAUAAUGGCUUUAAUCGACCCGUCUUGAAACACGGACCAAGGAGUCUAACAUGCCUGCGAGUGUUUGGGUGGAAAACCCGAGCGCGUAAUGAAAGUGAAAGUUGAGAUCUCUGUCGUGGAGAGCAUCGACGCCCGGCCCAGACCUUCUGUGACGGUGCCGCGGUUGAGCAUGUAUGUUGGGACCCGAAAGAUGGUGAACUAUGCCUGAAUAGGGUGAAGCCAGAGGAAACUCUGGUGGAGGCUCGUAGCGAUUCUGACGUGCAAAUCGAUCGUCGAAUUUGGGUAUAGGGGGCGAAAGACUAAUCGAACCCAUCUAGUAGCUGGGUUCCUGCCGAAG